GGUGCCGCUGGUUCCGCAGAGUGCCUUAGGAGAGCGGAGGAAGCAGUUGCGAGAGACAGUCCUGUGGGGUCCAACAGAGGAGAAAGAAUUGAACUUCCUGCCUGAAAGGAGCCUUUGCAUGGGGAUUAGCCAUCAGUAGCCAUCCGGUCUUAGAGGGUCCUAAGAGUGCUCCAUCGGGCCCGUCAGCCACUUCCCUGGAUCCCCACAGGAACUCAUUCAGAACGAGUCACAUGCUGCUUUGUACCUGGAUGCUUCCUCGUGUACAUCAUGUUUGCAAAGGAAGUAGCCAGCUCUUCGUGGACAGGAACUGUGUCUUACUCUUCUGCCAUCCCUCCCCUCAGGCAGCACUGCCGAGAGCAUUCGCAGUGGCCAUGGAACUCUGUUGAUUGAAUGUUGGCUUGAGGAAGUUCCUGAUGUAGUUGGGCCUGUAGCAGUUGGGAUCUGGCUUCUGCGAUACUCAAGUAGUCCUACUGAAUUACAGUACCGUCAGAACCCUGUGCACAACCCUGAAAUGGGUCAGAACUCCACACUGUGCCAUAAAGAGGAAAAUUGUCAACAGGGAAGUCUAAGGAAACACCCUCUUUUGUGGAAGGCAGCAGUGGCAUGAGAGCCACCCUCUGGGCCAAAGGUGCAGCCUGACAUUCUCUGCAGAAUUACACCAUGAGUUAAGAGUGUGAGCUUCGUUUCUGAGAUACAGCUCCACCCCCUCUGAUCCUGGGAAAACUUAUCAGCUUCACCAAGCCUCUGUUUCUUCACUCUUUGCUCAGUUACUAUCUACCAGGCAUGUUAAAAAUACUUUAUGUGAAUUAUUUUUGCUUUUCACUAACCCUAUUCUACAGGCAUUAAUAAGUGAGCAAAGAGAUUCUCUAUUAUUUGUUACGCAUUAUUAUGUAUUAUCUAUGUUCUUAUUAACUACUUGGUUACAAUAACGUUUGCUAAACUUUUGUUCUGUUCAUUAAAUUCUCGUUGAACCUUAA